rnacentral:rRNA from 1 species
CGCCAGACUCCUACGGGAGGCAGCAGUGGGGGAUGUUGCACAAUGGGGGGAACCCUGAUGCAGCGACGCCGCGUGGGUGAAGGAGUGCUUCGGCAUGUAAAGCCCUAUCGGCAGGGAAGAAGCAAGACGGUACCUGACUAAGAAGCCCCGGCUAACUACGUGCCAGCAGCCGCGGGAAUACGUAGGGGGCGAGCGUUAUCCGGAUUCACUGGGUGUAAAGGGAGCGUAGACGGCGACGCAAGUCUGGAGUGAAAGCCCGGGGCCCAACCCCGGGACUGCUCUGGAAACUGCGGCGCUGGAGUACGGGAGGGGCAGGCGGAAUUCCUGGUGUAGCGGUGAAAUGCGUAGAUAUUAGGAGGAACACCAGUGGCGAAGGCGGCCUGCUGGGCUUUUACUGACGCUGAGGCUCGAAAGUGUGGGGAGCAAACAGGAUUAGAUACCCUAGUA